UGGCCUGUCCUCCCUACUCCUGCUCUGUGGAGUGGUGCCAGCUAGUGCUGUACUCACCUCUGGCUCCUGCUCAUCUUCCUGCAUAGAGUUGCCUUGCUUCUGAUGCUCCUUGAGAGCUCAUUAUAUUCUAACCCAGUGUGUUCUGAAUAAUGAAAUUCCCCAGAGGAGUAACUUACAUAGAUAGGGAGGCUUGUUAAAAACUUUUCUUGACAUGACCACCUGCUGAGAGUUGAUUUAGAACACUGUCACUUACUUUCAGUGAAGUCCAGCUUUGAUGAGGACAAACAAAACGCAUGACAAGAAC